rnacentral:tRNA from 1 species
GGCUCCUUAAAGCGCCGGAUGCGCCUGCGGCGGACUCAUAAUCCGUUGGUCGAUGGUUCAAGCCCAUCACGGCCUACCA